GACGAACGCUGGCGGCGUGCUUAACACAUGCAAGUCGAACGGAAAGACCCUGCUUUUGUGGGGUGCUCGAGUGGCGAACGGGUGAGUAACACGUGAGUAACCUGCCCUUGACUUUGGGAUAACUUCAGGAAACUGGGGCUAAUACCGGAUCGGAGCUCCUGCUGCAUGGUGGGGGUUGGAAAGUUUCGGCGGUUGGGGAUGGACUCGCGGCUUAUCAGCUUGUUGGUGGGGUAGUGGCUUACCAAGGCUUUGACGGGUAGCCGGCCUGAGAGGGUGACCGGCCACAUUGGGACUGAGAUACGGCCCAGACUCCUACGGGAGGCAGCAGUGGGGAAUAUUGCACGAUGGGCGGAAGCCUGAUGCAGCAACGCCGCGUGCGGGAUGACGGCCUUCGGGUUGUAAACCGCUUUCGCCUGUGACGAAGCGUGAGUGACGGUAAUGGGUAAAGAAGCACCGGCUAACUACGUG
rnacentral:rRNA from 1 species